ACCAGACUCCUACGGGAGGCAGCAGUAGGGAAUCUUCGGCAAUGGACGAAAGUCUGACCGAGCAACGCCGCGUGAGUGAAGAAGGUUUUCGGAUCGUAAAACUCUGUCAGCAGGGAAGAACGGUCACUGUGCUAAUCAGCAGUGAAUUGACGGUACCUGCAAAGGAAGCACCGGCUAACUCCGUGCCAGCAGCCGCGGUAAUACGGAGGGUGCGAGCGUUAAUCGGAAUUACUGGGCGUAAAGCGCUCGUAGGCGGUAUGUCAAGUCAAGGGUGAAAUCCCCGCGCUCAACGUGGGAACUGCCUUUGAAACUGGCAAACUGGAGUGUGUGAGAGGAUAGUGGAAUUCCAGGUGUAGGAGUGAAAUCCGUAGAUAUCUGGAGGAACAUCAGUGGCGAAGGCGACUAUCUGGCACAUAACUGACGCUGAGGAGCGAAAGCGUGGGUAGCAAACAGGAUUAGAUACCCUGGUAUU
rnacentral:rRNA from 1 species